UUUUGAACCCCAUUUAUAAUGUCAAAACUCAAAACUGAAUUUCAAUCAAAAUAUUUUCUUUUGCCAAAUCAUGUAAAAACUGAUCUUGUGCACCCAAAUGUUAAAAUUUGAUGUUAAAUUAUUUUGUAGUUCUCAUUCGCUUCAUUCCGAUACAACGCUAAAAACAUUUCACCUGAUUUCAAGUUCUUUUCUUCGUGUUACGAAAUAUACGGUCUAUAUUCUUUUUUUCGCCUAAUUUACGCCCACCACAAAUUACGUUCGAGAUUCUAUUUUGUUAAAACAUUUCGCCAAAAUUAAAAUUUGAAUUAAUUCGUACCACAACAAAACGCAUACCUUUAUUUAUCCUUCCACACAAAAUAGUAGCACAGAAACUUGAAAAGCCGCGAAAAUUUGUAACUUACUCAUGAUUCAUGAGCUGUCAAUAUUUUGUAUGAAAUGGCGGAAUCCGUUUAAAUGCAAAGUGGUCAACCCCAAAGGUGAAAAAGUGAACCUGAAUUAAAAUGCAAAAAUAUAGAGGGAAUAUUUUUAUUGAUUUCAAAAAGCUGUUAAAAAAUUAGUUCUUCUCUGGAUGAGGGAAAGGCACGAAGUAAAUCCGAAGGACGAUAUUUUCCCAGCUGCAAAACCUUCUCGUCUUUUCAAAAACAAGAUUUCAUCUCAACAUAUAGAGUUUCAAAUUUGACAUGUCGGGUUUUUUUUAAGGUACUUACUACUGUGUUUUUUUCCAACAAACGUUUUACGUUUCUAUACACAUGACAUAAAAACCAGAGAGCAAUUCGUCUAUGAGGUAUACUUAGCUGAAAUUCAAAAUUUUACUUAAUUUGUUAUAACAUUCCUUUUACAGGAUCAAAGUCAAUCGAGGUGAAUAUCAAAUAUGUCUGACUGAAAUUGAUCGAUUUAACAGGUCUUUUAGUAAAUGUUUUUUGUCCUAGAAAUAGUUAUUUACAUAACAAAGCCAUAAAAAAGAAGUUUUUCGGCCGAUAUGAAGUUUGAGACCGAAAUGUAGCCGAGGCCUACAAAUCAGAUGAGAUCGAAAAUAGUAUAUUAUUAGCCAAGGUUGCAGAGCCAAGCAUUCUAGACCGAGCGCAAAUUAGAACCCGAGACGCGCAGCGUCGAGGGCUCUGAAGCGCGAGGUCUAGAAGUGGCUUUGCAACCGUGGUUAAUAUACUAUUUUUUUCACUAGUAGAAACCAUAAGACAAUAAACUGAAAAAAUAAACGUUCAAUUUUUUGACGCAAUAUGAAUUUGUUUUGAUUUCUAAUCAAACUUAAUCUAAAUCUUCAACACAAAGAAAACCGUUUAUACGUGUCGCUGAGUUAAUCAUUUUACCUUCUACCGUCUACCAACUACCAUGCGUAUACUCAAGUAAUGUUUGUAGCACACAUUUGUUCAUUUUUUAAGAAAUAAUCACAUCAAAUAUUGCGUACAUAACCUCAAUUUUUCUUUUUGAACCGGUGGUCGCAAAAAUUGAAUUUGCUACCUCUAAAUGAGUCGACAUUUGCAUGCGGCAUGGCUGCUAGUGAAAAAAGUUUUUUUUUGGCCAAGUUACACACAACGUUUUUUAGACGACCAUACGAAUAAAUAAUAUUCGUUAAUGACCACGGUUGUAGAAUAGAUAGGUUGAUACACUAGCAUACAUUUGCAUAUCUCUGGUCAGCGACGCCAAUUGCCGAUCGCGUCGCCUGGUUUUUGACGUUUUAGGGACACUGAACUCUAUAGGCAUCUGUCUAUAACCGAUGUAAUUAAUAAAAGAAAUCGUACUUAUCGACUCCGAUCAAAUGUCAUUUACAAAUUUUGUAUUAGCCAAAUACACUGACGUCAUCCGAGGUCACCAAGAUGGCAGCGUUUGACAACUAGCCGGUUUUCUCAUAAGAGUCAAUGCUAAUAUUUUCGGAAUUCAUUUAAAUUUGAGAGUGUGACAACUGUGUUUUUAUGGUUUGGAGAAAAUGCCUAAAUUUUGUGCUGUUGUGGGUUGCGCGAAUCGAAGCACCAGAAAUGCGGACAAAUUUUAUUUUCCUUUCCCAGCAAUUAGAAACAAUAAAGUAUUUUAGGUAAACCUGCAGAUUUGUCGGAUGUGGACCAUCCUGAUUAUGUUCCAUCACAAAAUUUAGGAUAUCAAAAUAAAUCCACUCAUAAUACUUGUAAUUUUGAAAGACACAGUUGUUUAAAAAAAAGAAAACUGAAUAAAUGCCUCUAGACUUUUGAA